CGACGUCUUUGCGGGUCCCUGCUGCUCUUCGGCGCGGCGCUCCUGCGGUAUUUGACCACGGCAAGGACGUUCCUGGGGCUCGUGGUUCGACCAAAGCAGAGAUGGACAGCCGGGCCAAGCUGCGUUUUCCAGCAGACGAGGACUCAAGGACGAAUGUGCAUUGAGGCCUGUAUAGAAAUCAAGGCCUGCUUCCCUUUGUUCUAGGUGGUCAUUUUCCAGCCGGACACUACUGGCAUCAGCAAGACUUGUCACCCGUCCACACGUCGCGCUCUCUGCUAGCGAACCUGCAAGAUCUUGGCGUCAUGACACUAUAGAUUGGCGGC
rnacentral:lncRNA from 1 species